rnacentral:rRNA from 1 species
GUCGAACGGGGUUUAUAUAACAGAACUCUCCGGAGGGAAGAUAUAUAAACCUAGCGGUGGACGGGUGAGUAACGCGUGGGCAACCUGCCCUGUACCGGGGGACAACAGCCAGAAAUGGCUGCUAAUACCGCAUAAGCCUGCUGUGCCGCAUGGCACAGCAGGGAAAACCACGGUGGUACAGGAUGGGCCCGCGUCUGAUUAGUUAGUUGGCAGGGUAACGGCCUACCAAGACAACGAUCAGUAGCCGGCUUGAGAGAGUGGACGGCCACAUUGGGACUGAGACACGGCCCAGACUCCUGCGGGAGGCAGCAGUGGGGAAUAUUGCACAAUGGGGGGAACCCUGAUGCAGCAAUGCCGCGUGGGUGAAGAAGCACUCCGGUGCGUAAAGCCCUGUCAGCAGGGAAGAAAAUGACAGUACCUGGACAAGAAGCCCCGGCUAACUACGUGCCAGCAGCCGCGGUAAUACGUAGGGGGCAAGCGUUAUCCGGAUUUACUGGGUGUAAAGGGAGCGCAGGCGGCGUGGCAAGUCAGAUGUGAAAACCCGGGGCCCAACCCCGGGAGUGCAUUUGAAACUGCCAUGCUGGAGUGCCGGAGAGGUAAGCGGAAUUCCUAGUGUAGCGGUGAAAUGCGU